GAUGAACGCCAGCGGCAGGCUUAAUACAUGCAAGUCGAACGGCAGCGGGUCCAGCAAUGGAUGCCGGCGAGUGGCGCACGGGCGCGUAACACGUACGCAACCUACCUAUCAGAGGGGAAUAACCCGGCGAAAGUCGGACUAAUACCGCAUAAAAACGGGGCACCGCAUGGUGAUAUUUGUUCAAGAAAUUCGCUGAAAGAUGGGGAUGCGUUCCAUGAGGUAGUUGGUGGGGUAACGGCUCAACAAGCCGACGAUGGGUAGGGGAACUGAGAGGUUGGUCCCCCACACUGGUACUGAGACACGGACCAGACUCCUACGGGAGGCAGCAGUGAGGAAUAUUGGUCAAUGGGCGGGAGCCUGAACCAGCCAAGUCGCGUGAAGGAAGAAGGAUCUAUGGUUCGUAAACUUCUUUUGCAGGGGAAUAAAGUGCAGGACUUGUCCUGUUUUGUAUGUACCCUGAGAAUAAGGAUCGGCUAACUCCGUGCCAGCAGCCGCCGUAAUAC
rnacentral:rRNA from 1 species